rnacentral:lncRNA from 13 species
CUUAAACAGUAACCUUUACUCCCACAAAUCUGUAAGAAGGCUGAUGCUCAUGCUGGCUGGAGGUCCUGAUAAUUUCACCUGGAUUAGCUUUCACACCCGGUGGCGUUCUAGAUGGUGCUCUAGACUGGGCUGUGAUGGGUCAACUCUGUUCCAUGGAAUCCACCUCCUGGGACCAGCAGCUGAGGAGCAGAGCUGCCUCAGGCAUGCUGUGCAGGGCGUUGAAGGUGAAAGCUGAGAGGAAGACGAGCUGCUUGCUGUGAAGAGAACUGCAGAGCAUGAAUCAACUUAUCAAGUUCUAUCAGUUCCUGCAUGGGGGAACUGAUGGGUAUGAGAACAUCUUUUUAGGGCUUUCUCUGUGACCAGUAUGGGAAUAGUGGGCAUGCAAUAUUAGUAGGGAUGACAGCAAGCACCGUGGAAGGUACUGGGUGCCUUGGGGUCAGAAUGAAGGCCUGAGCCUUCCACCCUCCAGUGUUGGCACUGCCUCUGUUUAUGUUACCAGGACAGAGCCCUUUGCUAUUUUAGUCACUGUACAUCUGACUCUCAAUUUCCCCCUCUGUGAAAUGAGAUUAAAUAUUCUUAUAUGACAGCAGAAGUCCCCAACCUUUUUGGCAUCAAGGACCAGUUUUGUGGAAAAUAAUUUUUCCAUAGACCAGUUGUGGGAAGGCAGUUUUGGGAUGAAAUUGUUCCACCUCAGGUCAUCAGGCAUUAAACUCUUAUAAGUAGCAUGCAGCAUAGAUCCCUCCCAUGCAUAGUUCACAAUAGGAUUUGGGUUCCUAUGAGAACCUAAUGCUGCCACUGAUCUGACAGGAGGCAGAGCUAAGGCCAUAAUCUCUCCUCAGUCACCUGCUCACCACCUGCUGUGCAGCCCAGUUUCCUAGAGGCCAUAGACUAGCACUAGUUCAUGGCUUAGGGAUUUGGAACCCCUGUAUAAUAGAAGAAUAAAAAAAAAGAAAAGAAAAAAAUGUUGGUGACU